AAUGGAUUAAAAAAAAGAAAUCGACAAUUCGUAGCGUUGGUCUUUUUUCCCCACAACAUACACCAACUGAACCAGCUACAUAGUAGUCUAUUGAUUAAUUAAUUACACCUGUUGGGCUUAACAGCACGCGUAACAGCAGACGACACAAAUAAAAUUAUUUAAAUGGCCCAUUCUUAUGUGUACCGUGCGAUGAAACAGAUGGAUUUUUAAAAACGCUAACCUGGAAUGUCUAUGUAAAGUGGUUUUAAAAGAUGAUAUGAAGAAUUUUAAGACACACAUCUUCUAGCUGCAAAACUUGUAGAAAAGCUGAAGAGUAUGUAUUGAGGUACCUGGACAGUCAACUCUAACUGCAGUCACUCCAAAUCAAGGACGCAAGCAGACGAGACUAAACCAAUGGCGCCUACACACGGCUAUUGGGGCAAGCAGACGUCAACGGUCGACUGGUGUGAGGAUAAUUAUGUCGUCAGUUAUUACAUCGCUGAAUUCUGGAAUACCUUAUCGAAUGCCGUCAUCAUCAUCGCUCCCCUCUUCAUGCUCAUCGUCGGCUGGAGACAAAAAAUCGAAACAAGAUUCAUCUACAGCUUCUUCGCCAUGACAG